GACGAACGCUGGCGGCGUGCUUAACACAUGCAAGUCGAACGGAAAGGCCCUGCUUUUGUGGUGUUCUCGAGUGGCGAACGGGUGAGUAACACGUGAGUAACCUGCCCUUGACUUUGGUAUAACUUCAGGAAACUGGGGCUAAUACCGGAUAGGAGCUCCUGCUGCAUGGUGGGGGUUGGAAAGUUUCGGCGGUUGGGGAUGGACUCGCGGCUUAUCAGCUUGUUGGUGGGGGAGUGGCUUACCAAGGCUUUGACGGGGAGCCGGCCUGAGAGGGUGACCGGCCACAUUGGGACUGAGAUACGGCCCAGACUCCUACGGGGGGCAGCAGUGGGGAAUAUUGAACAUUGGGCGGAAGCCUGAUGAAGAAACGCCGGGUGCGGGAUGACGGCCUUCGGGUUGUAAACCGCUUUCGCCUGUGACGAGGCGUGAGUGACGGUAAUGGGUAAAGAAGCACCGGCUAACUACGUG
rnacentral:rRNA from 1 species